AACCCAGCCCCCAUAGUGUGAGGAGGCCUAGGACAGUUACAGAAGCCAUGUGUAGGUGUUCUGGCUCCAGCAAAAGUCUUAUCUGACAACAUCAACUACAUGUUAGUGGCCUUUCCUUGAAAUUGCUGGAGCUUGUGCAUCAUCAAAAUAAUGGCAUAAACCAAGGAAGAAGAAAACAAAAUUGAGGAAAUGGGAUCCAACACAAAAGAGAGACAACAGGAUUAAUUGAGUGUUGGUGAAAAGCCACAGCCUGUAAAUAAUGCAGUUCGAACUGAAAUAGACCAGGAGGCUCAAGGAGAGACUUCUUCAAGAAGAUAAAAUUGAUAGAAUGCCUAAGGAGUUUGAGUGCAUUGAGAAUAGAUUCAUAUCAGUUCUGGAGAACUGGGUGGAUACAUUAAUGUUAAGUACAUAGAAAAGUUAAAAAUGAAAAAAAUUCUCAAUUCUAGGGAAAAUAAUCAUAGUAAACUACAUGUUUUAGUUACCAAUAGUGUUUACGUAGUCAAUAUAAACAAUGGGCAUUGAUAUAAAUAAUGUAUGUUGAUCUGCUAUAACAAGGUAAAAUGCUAUUGGGGAAACAAGAUAA
rnacentral:lncRNA from 1 species